rnacentral:rRNA from 1 species
AUUGAACGCUGGCGGCAGGCCUAACACAUGCCAGUCGAGCGAGCGGCGGAAGGGUGAGUAAUGUAUGGGGACUGCCCGAUAGAGGGGGAUAAGUACUGGAAACGGUAGCUAAUACCGAAUACUAUCGGAUAAAACAUAUGGGAUUAGCUAGUAGGUGAGGUAAUGGCGCACCUAGGAGACGAGCCCUAGCUGGUCUGAGAGGAUGAUCAGCCACACUGGGACUGAGACACGGCCCAGACUCCGACGGAGGCAGCAGUGGGGAAUAGUGCACAAGGGGCGCAAGCCUGAUGCAGCCAUGCCGCGUGUAUGAAGAAGGCCCUAGGGUUGUAAAGUACUUUCAGUCGGGAGGCGUUACCGACAGAAGAAGCACCGGCUAACUCCGUGCCAGCAGCCGCGGUAAUAC